GGCCACGGUGAUCGGGGAGAUCGGUGCCUCGGUGGCACCGGUGAUCAUGACGUCGGCGCUGCCCUCGCGGAUCAGUUCCACGGCGUGGCCG
rnacentral:tRNA from 2 species